ACACUUGUUUUGUUUUUCACGCAUGAUCAUGAAUUCAUGAGUCGAUACUUGUUUGAUGGAGUGAUGUUGGACAAGGAGAGGAGAGACUGAUAUUAUUCCCUUCUGCCUUCGGGUUGCUUCAGGACUUGAGGUAAGACUUUGUUCCAACGUUUAAUAGGUAGUAUUGUGGUUUGAAUUCCCUUUAGUAACCAAUGCUUGUAACAAACGUGUAAUGCUUGUAGCUUGAUGAUUUUCACCAACUUGAUAAUAUAUCUCUAAUGCUUAACUCUUCUUCUUACAGGUGUCACUGUCUAUUUUGAUUAAUAUAUGCUGAAUUAUAAGUGCUUAUAACAAACGUAACCUAUGUUUAUAACUUGAUGGUUCUGAAAAACUUGAUAAUGUAAAAAUUGACUGUUCGGGAUAGAUUUACGUUUUCCCGGUCUUAACUCUCGUCCCUCUUUCUUGCAGGUGACACAGGUCCCAAGCCUUGAUGAAGAUUGCUGGCCCGCGGGCCGACCCGCAUACCCGCUGCUAUAGGGCGGGUCGGGAUUGGUCAUAGGUUUCAGAGACCGCAGCCCGCCGCGGUACGACCCGCAGAGACUCGAAUGAAACUGAGCCCGCGACGGGGCGGGUCAUUUGGUUGCGGGAGAGCCCAAAUGCCAUCACUA
rnacentral:lncRNA from 1 species